UACGUAGGUGGCAAGCGUUGUCCGGAUUUAUUGGGUUUAAAGGGUGCGUAGGCGGCUUAAUAAGUCAGUGGUGAAAGCCGAUCGCUUAACGAUCGAACUGCCAUUGAUACUGCUAGGCUUGAGUAUAGUUGAGGUAGGCGGAAUUGACAGUGUAGCGGUGAAAUGCAUAGAUAUUGUCAAGAACACCAAUUGCGAAGGCAGCUUACUAAAGUAUAACUGACGCUGAGGCACGAAGUGCGGGGGAUCAAAACAGG
rnacentral:rRNA from 1 species